GAUGAACGCUGGCGGCGUGCCUAAUACAUGCAAGUCGAGCGAACGGACGAGAAGCUUGCUUUUCUGAUGUUAGCGGCGGACGGGUGAGUAACACGUGGAUAACCUACCUAUAAGACUGGGAUAACUUCGGGAAACCGGAGCUAAUACCGGAUAAUAUUUUGAACCGCAUGGUUCAAAAGUGAAAGACGGUCUUGCUGUCACUUAUAGAUGGAUCCGCGCUGCAUUAGCUAGUUGGUAAGGUAACGGCUUACCAAGGCAACGAUGCAUAGCCGACCUGAGAGGGUGAUCGGCCACACUGGAGCUGAGACACGGUCCAGACUCCUACGGGAGGCAGCAGUAGGGAAUCUUCCGCAAUGGGCGAAAGCCUGACGGAGCAACGCCGCGUGAGUGAUGAAGGUCUUCGGAUCGUAAAACUCUGUUAUUAGGGAAGAACAUAUGUGUAAGUAACUGUGCACACCUUGACGGUACCUAAUCAGAAAGCCACGGCUAACUACGUG
rnacentral:rRNA from 1 species